GAUCAGAUGCAGAGGACCUGCAUCAACUGGCUGGAACUGACCAUCCUCAAGGAGUAAUGUAUGGUGGAUCAGAUGGGGAGGACCUGCAUCAACUGACUGGAACUGACCAUCCUCAAGAGGUAAAGUAUGGCGGAUCAGGUGCGGAGGACCUGCAUCAACUGACUGGAACUGAUCAUCCUCAAGAGGUAAUAUAUGGCUAAAUACUGCAAAUUUUAUGUUCUACUGACCAUCCUAAGCCAAGCGAUUCUGGUCCCUCUAGUCUUGUCC
rnacentral:lncRNA from 1 species